rnacentral:RNase_P_RNA from 1 species
AUGCGACGGAAAGUGCCACAGAGACCAGAGCGCCGAUGGCCUCGCGGAAACGCAAGGGACAGGCAAGGGUGAAACGGUGCGGCAAGAGCGCACCAGGUUCCGGUGCGAGCCGGGAUGCUGGCAAACCCCACCCGGAGCAAGGCCAAAUAGGGGGACACCUCCGCUCGUCGGAGGACAGCGCCCAGCUGUAGUCCCCGGGUAGGCCGCACGAUCCCGUCCGGCAACGGAGGGACCAGAUAGAUGGCCGCCGUCCCGUGCUUGCACGGGAUACAGAAUCCGGCUUACAGGCCCUCUUGGCGC